CCGGCGCGCGGUGCCGGGUGCCCACCGCCCACACUGGGAGGGGCCGGGUCUGCGCCGACGCUGGGGCCGCGACACCGACGGGGCUGUAGGGACAAGAGCGAGGAAGGAAAGGCCACGGUCCCCUCCGAGCGUCCGGUGGGUCCCAAAGGAUGCGGUCCCGGGGGCGGGGACGGCCUCUCCCGGCAAGGCGGCGGGGACUCGGAAUCCCUGUGGGCCUCCCCACCUCUGCUGCCGCAGUGAACAAAGCGCGACCGCGGACCGCAGCCGCCCCCGGGGAGCCUUGAACUUCAUGCUGCUGCUCUGCGCCCCGAGAGGCCGCGCGCGGGGCCCCGGAUGGGGCGGCGGGAAACCGCUGCGCAGGGGCCUAGGCCGGGUCUGGGUCAGAACACUCGGCGCCCGGGUUCCAGGACCGGUGCGGAUGCCGCCCUGCAGCAGCGCCCCGGGAAGGGCAGGGGAAGACGGGGAAGGGGCCUGGCACGCGAGGCCUCCCCGCGCGGCGGGCCCGGACGCUGGCUACACACGGUCACAGCGGCCCCGACCUGCCCGCCCACGCCCUCGGGAUCCUUUUGGCUGGGCACCAGGCGCUACUCCCAGCACGGACGGCCGGGCGCCGGUCCGGAGAUGGCGCCCCUGGCGCAGUUUCCUUCUAGGAACACCAGGAUGACCAGCCAACUGCACAGACCUACUUGAGUCAGACUAUUCAGAUCGCGCUUGGCUCUGGGGUCCGUCGCAGGAGCCACGCCCACCAUGCCUUCAGUGGCUGAGUUCCACCCCAUUACUGCCCAAAGGGGAAGGCACUGGUGCUUUGCAGGUGUGGGCAGGAUAGUUGUGUCCCAUCAGGUGGAACUUCAACCUCAUGAUUAUCUUUAUUUGGAGAUUCAGCAUGGCUUUAGGAGAUGCGUAAGGGGGCCAGGUUGACAAAGGGUAGCCUUGUGAUGGUUAAUUUUAUGUGAUGACUUGACUGGACUGAGGGAUGCCCAGGUAGCUGGGAAACUGGUUCUUGGUGUGUCUGUGAGGAUGGUUCUGGAAGAGAGAAGCAUCUGAAUCUACUUUGAGAUUAGAAUUUGAAUUGAGUAAAGUUGGUUGCCCUCCCCAUCAGGGGUGGCCUCGUCCAGUCAGCCGAGGGAUGGAGCAGAAAACAAAAAAGCAAAGGAAAAACAGUUUCUCCUUGAGCCAUGCUGUCUGUCUUUUCUUGCCCUUGGACAUUGGAGCUCCUGAUUCUGGGGCCUUCGGACUCGGGCACCUACGCCAGCCUCGCCCAUCCCAUGUGCUCCACUCCCUGGUUAUCGGGCCUUCAGCUCUAGCCGGCUGGCAGGUGGCAGACCUUGGGCUCCCAGACCUCCUUAACGGUGUGUCAGUUCCUAUAAUAAAUUUCCUUUUAUGUGUAUCUCUGUA